rnacentral:piRNA from 1 species
UUGCCCCAAAUUGCAUAGUAAUGGAUGGAA